UACGUAGGGGGCAAGCGUUGUCCGGAAUCAUUGGGCGUAAAGCGCGCGUAGGCGGCCUCAUAAGUCCGCUGUAAAAGUCAAAGGCUCAACCUUUGAAUGCCGGUGGAUACUGUGAGGCUAGAGUCCGGAAGAGGCGAGUGGAACUCCUGGUGUAGCGGUGGAAUGCGCAGAUAUCAGGAAGAACACCAACGGCGAAGGCAGCUCGCUGGGACGGUACUGACGCUGAGGCGCGAAAGCGUGGGGAGCAAACAGG
rnacentral:rRNA from 1 species